rnacentral:tRNA from 1 species
GCCGAGAUAGCUCAACAGGCAGAGCAAUCGCCCUCUCUCCCCCUUCCUCAAGAGGCGAUAGACAUGGGUUCGACUCCCGUUUUCGGCU